CGCCGCCACAUCGCCACCCCCGCCAACGGUCGCCGCGCGUGCACGAGAACGGCGCUCCCUCUCCAAGGUUAAAGUUGGCAAGAAGGAAAAGGUUCCUGUUCUCCAGCUGACAUGGAGAGAAACCGGAUGGGCCACCGUACCCAGCAGUUUUGUGAACCGACUUCUUUUAAGUGAGAUCUAAUAAAAGCUCCACACCGUAUCCAACGGUCUCAAUUCAUCAAGGACGGUGAGGGACAUAACAACUGCUAGGUUCCACACGAGAUUGCAGGGCAGGAGACCCCAACACCAAUUCUUUUCAUUUCAUUAGGGGGAAGAAAGAUGGAAAUUCCAAGAUGGCUCAAAGGGACACAGAAACGGGCUUCAGUGGCUAAUUUUGAGGGAAUUACAAACCCAUCUCAGUGCACAGCAAGGGAGAAGGGGACAAUAUCAAGUGAACUUGAGGCUUGGUUUACUGCGGGCAGACUGCUGGGGUGACCAGUAAUCAGCACCAGAAUAAGAAAUCCAGGAGCUCAGGGCAGCCUCCUGCAUGUCUGUCUUCACGGCCACCAUACUCAAUUACUGUUCCUCUCCAUUCUUUGGAAUUCACAGGACUUACUCCACUGUGCACCCCCCACCCCCUACUUUGCAGCUCCACAGGUCUUACAAGAAAUUUCUCACCACCUGCAUAAAAAGAAAAAUAAUUCAGCCUCUUGACAUAACCCUUCUGAGCAAACAGGGUCUUUUCUUUUUUUUUUUU